rnacentral:rRNA from 1 species
GAAUUUUGGACAAUGGGGGAAACCCUGAUCCAGCCAUGCCGCGUGCAGGAUGAAGGCCUUCGGGUUGUAAACUGCUUUUGUACGGAACGAAAAGGUCUUUUCUAAUAAAGAAGGCUGAUGACGGUACCGUAAGAAUAAGCACCGGCUAACUACGUGCCAGCAGCCGCGGUAAUACGUAGGGUGUGAGCGUUAAGCGGAAUUACUGGGCGUAAAGCGUGCGCAGGCGGUUAUGCAAGACAGAUGUGAAAUCCCCGGGCUCAACCUGGGAACUGCAUUAGUGACUGCAUAGCUAGAGUGCGGCAGAGGGGGAUGGAAUUCCGCGUGUAGCAGUGAAAUGCGUAGAUAUGCGGAGGAACACCGAUGGCGAAGGCAAUCCCCUGGGCCUGCACUGACGCUCAUGCACGAAAGCGUGGGGAGCAAACAG